rnacentral:rRNA from 1 species
GUGGUAAUUCCCAUGUGUAGCGCAGUCGAGCGAAUGGAUUAAGAGCUUGNUCGUUAUGAAGUUAGCGGCGGACGGGUGAGUAACACGUGGGUAACCUGCCCAUAAGACUGGGAUAACUCCGGGAAACCGGGGCUAAUACCGGAUAACAUUUUGAACUGCAUGGUUCGAAAUUGAAAGGCGGCUUCGGCUGUCACUUAUGGAUGGACCCGCGUCGCAUUAGCUAGUUGGUGAGGUAACGGCUCACCAAGGCAACGAUGCGUAGCCGACCUGAGAGGGUGAUCGGCCACACUGGGACUGAGACACGGCCCAGACUCCUACGGGAGGCAGCAGUAGGGAAUCUUCCGCAAUGGACGAAAGUCUGACGGAGCAACGCCGCGUGAGUGAUGAAGGCUUUCGGGUCGUAAAACUCUGUUGUUAGGGAAGAACAAGUGCUAGUUGAAUAAGCUGGCACCUUGACGGUACCUAACCAGAAAGCCACGGCUAACUACGUGCCAGCAGCCGCGGUAAUACGUAGGUGGCAAGCGUUAUCCGGAAUUAUUGGGCGUAAAGCGCGCGCAGGUGGUUUCUUAAGUCUGAUGGGNAGCCCCACGGGCUCAACCGUGGAGGGGUCAUUUGGAAACUGGGAGACUUGAGUGCAGAAAGAGGAAAGUGGUAAUUCCCAUGUGUAGCGGUGAAAAGCAACAAAUAUGAAGGAAC